AAGUCGUAACAAGGUUUCCGUAGGUGAACCUGCGGAAGGAUCAUUAUUGAAUUAAACUUGGUUGGGUUGUUGCUGGCUUUUCGGAGCAUGUGCACACCUAGCGCCAAUUUUAUUCACCUGUGCACUUUUUGUAGAUUUGAAACACCUCUCGAGGCAACUCGGAUUGAGGAACUGCUAUGUGUAAUAACUAAGCUUUCCUUGCGUUUCAAGUCUAUGUCUUUAUAUACUCUAUGAAUGUUUUAGAAUGUCAUUAAUUGGGCUGUUAUGGCCUAUAAAAUUAAUACAACUUUCAACAACGGAUCUCUUGGCUCUC
rnacentral:misc_RNA from 1 species